rnacentral:rRNA from 1 species
UACGGGGGGGGCAAGCGUUGUUCGGAAUUACUGGGCGUAAAGGGCUCGUAGGCGGCCAACUAAGUCAGACGUGAAAUCCCCGGGCUCAACCUGGGAACUGCGUCUGAUACUGGAUGGCUUGAAUCCGGGAGAGGGAUGCAGAAUUCCAGGUGUAGCGGUGAAAUGCGUAGAUAUCUGGAGGAACACCGGUGGCGAAGGCGGCAUCCUGGACCGAGAUUGACGCUGAGGCGCGAAAGCCAGGGGAGCAAACGGG